rnacentral:lncRNA from 1 species
CUUUUAUUUUGAAGGUUUUUUCAUUACCAUACCAAUUUGACGUCAUCGUUUGUGCUGCUGGCAGAAUACUAGUGUGCUGGCCUACCUGUUCACACUCACUUCUGUAUCCCUUGUCCCCCUCUUUCUCUAUAGCCUAUUUGCAUGUGAGGCCAGCAACAAAUUAAUUUCCUCAUGAUUUGAGAAGAGAGAGACACCUGAAUCAUGACAAUGAGUUUCUUUGGAAAAUUAAAGAACCUACACAGUGGGCCUCCAACUCCACCCAAAAUGAUAGAGAACAAUGCGGGGUAUGGUGGGUGGCCAGAAGAUGAGUUUGAUGAAGAGGAUGGGGACACAUAUGAGGUGCCCCCCUGUGAGAGACCCGCCAUGAAGGUUCCUUCCAGACAUGUGGAGGAGAAUGUCUAUUUGGAGAGAACGUCAGAGCGGUCCAAUCCUGUUCUCCCCAAAAGGCAGGCAGCUGCACCCCCAAGGCCAGCCAAGAUGGCGCCCAUGGGCAAAGCAUUGAAACAGCAGCCUCAACCUGAGGAGUUCUACAUUGACCCCAACACCAAGAAACCGCCUGAGGUAGAUAGGAAGGAGAAGCCAGGGAAGAGGUCUACUCCUAAGAAGUUUGCCUCUCCCCCACCACCUGCAGAGGAAGAUGUCUACCUGGAUCCUAAUGAAGGACAGGAAGACAGUGAUGACCUGUAUCUAGAGCCCACAGCGGCUUGCCCCCCUGCUCCUCGUGGGCCCAUGAGGAUGCCCCUCCCACCCAAGACAGCAGCCGCCCCUCCCCCCAUACCCAUAAAACCUCCAGUGCCCAGAGCCAAGUCUAGUUCUCUAUUGGUCAAUGAGGCAAAGACAGGUACGUGA